GACGUAGGGCGCGAGCGUUGUCCGGAUUUAUUGGGCGUAAAGAGCUCGUAGGCGGCUUGUUGCGUCAGCUGUGAAAACCCGCGAGCUCAACUGCGGGCUUGCAGUCGAUACGGGCAGGCUGAGUUCGGUAGGGGAGACUGGAAUUCCUGGUGUAGCGGUGAAAUGCGCAGAUAUCAGGAGGAACACCGGUAGUCGGAAGGCGGGUCUCUGGGCCGAUUAACUGACGCUGAGGAGCGAAAGCGUGGGGAGCGAACAGG
rnacentral:rRNA from 1 species